rnacentral:tRNA from 1 species
UAGAAAGUAGUAUAAGGGUAUUACAAAGAUCUUUGACUUCUUAAACAUAAGUUCAAUUCUUAUCUUUCUAA